UUUUAUGGAGAGUUUGAUCCUGGCUCAGGAUGAACGCUGGCGGCGUGCCUAAUACAUGCAAGUCGAGCGAACGGACGAGAAGCUUGCUUCUCUGAUGUUAGCGGCGGACGGGUGAGUAACACGUGGAUAACCUACCUAUAAGACUGGGAUAACUUCGGGAAACCGGAGCUAAUACCGGAUAAUAUUUUGAACCGCAUGGUUCAAAAGUGAAAGACGGUCUUGCUGUCACUUAUAGAUGGAUCCGCGCUGCAUUAGCUAGUUGGUAAGGUAACGGCUUACCAAGGCAACGAUGCAUAGCCGACCUGAGAGGGUGAUCGGCCACACUGGAACUGAGACACGGUCCAGACUCCUACGGGAGGCAGCAGUAGGGAAUCUUCCGCAAUGGGCGAAAGCCUGACGGAGCAACGCCG
rnacentral:rRNA from 1 species